UUGAUGAUGAAGGAAUCGUGAAACAAAACUUUGAGCUAACGAACAGAAACUUAAUAAUAAGGCUAUUAGGUGGAUAAGGUGCCAGCUGAUAUCGAAGUCCAAAAGUGUAGACGUAUAACCGAGGUAGUAAAUCAAGUAGUUUAAAGUGAAAGAAAA
rnacentral:ncRNA from 1 species